rnacentral:rRNA from 1 species
CCUACGGGAGGCUGCAGUGAGGAAUAUUGGUCAAUGGGCGAGAGCCUGAACCAGCCAAGUCGCGUGAGGGAGUACUGCCCUAUGGGUUGUAAACCUCUUUUGUCGGGGAGCAAAAGCCGGACGUGUCCGGCUGUGAGAGUACCCGAAGAAAAAGCAUCGGCUAACUCCGUGCCAGCAGCCGCGGUAAUACGGAGGGGGCAAGCGUUAUCCGGAUUUACUGGGUGUAAAGGGAGCGUAGACGGCGCUGCAAGUCCGGAGUGAAAGCCUAUGGCUUAACCAUGGUACUGCUCUGGAAACUGUAGAGCUUGAGUGCGGGAGGGGCAGGCGGAAUUCCUAGUGUAGCGGUGAAAUGCGUAGAUAUUAGGAGGAACACCGGCGGCGAAGGCGGCCUGCUGGACCGUAACUGACGUUGAGGCUCGAAAGCGUGGGGAGCAAACAGGAUUAGAGACCCUUGUAGUC